rnacentral:lncRNA from 1 species
AUGAACAAGUUGAAAAGUGUCCCAAACAUCCAUAAUUACUCCAAAUAGUAGCCAAAAACACAUUUUCACCUUUUUUGUGAACUUAGCAUCCAUAACAUGAUUUCCUGCAAAACAUACCCAAAAAGCAUCAUAAAUAACAAAAUAACCUCAAAACCCUGCAUAUUUUCCUCAUUUUAAGCAUUGCAAAGUGCUAUGUUUCUAUAGCAUAUCAACACCCUCCACUUAGAAUAUUUGCAUGUCCUCAGGCAACAUAACACAAUAUGAACAAAAACAAUGCUUAACUAGGAAUCUAAGCUAUUCAAGGUAGUCAGUCAACACUUAAAGCUCAAAACACACACACCCUCUAAUCUUAUUUCUCAAGACCAACUGCAUAUGAACAUGGAGCAAAAAAAUAUGACGCAAUGGGAUCAAGGUAUGGAAAUUACAUUAGCAAUAGACAACCACUCAUAUAUACAAGUUACACUACCCAAUACAAAUAAAUAGUUAGCAAUAUGACUCAAGUGCCAUUAUAACAAGGAUAUCCUACUCACUCAUAUGAAAUAAUGCAUGUCAAUGUAGGGAUGGUCAAGAGACACUCACAUCCAGAAGAGAAGAUCCAAUCAAUGUAUGUUAAAUACUGUAGGCUUGCCCUUAUUUUUGUUACCUUAGCAUUCAGAUAGUCAUGUUAGGACCACUAUCGAACUUUUCUCGACUAGUAAUACGGCUUGGGGUCUGUAUGGUACAUAAGGACAUAUCAAGUGACUAAGCCUCUUUGGCACUACACUAACAUUGGGGUUUUAUUUACUAGCCAAUUUCCUUUUUAUUCUACCUUUAUUUCUCCUUUUUUAUUCUUUAUUGCACAUUCAGGUUGGGUAUGGUCUUUCAUUCUUUCUUUUUCACUUUUUCAUAAUUUCUUGCUUCCACACCUAUCCCUACUAACUCUUUAUUUUAUCUUACCCUUCUACAUACCACUUUACAAUAUGCACUCCUAUGAUAGCUACCCUCAACUUAGGAAUUUUGCCUGAGUUGAGGUGCACAAUGUUCAAUGAGGACAAGGGCCAAAAUAAGUUUAUUAUAGCACAACUAGGAAGGUGAGUGGUGAAAUAAGAUAAAUACGUUACAAGACUCAAAAUAGGGAUCAAGGGAUACAAUUCACACAUAGAAGGUUAUUUAGUCUAAAAGUGUACUAAAAUAAAAAAAAAUGGCCUAUGAUCCUUUCCUGAUCGACUAUGCUUUAACCUAGGAUAAACUAACCAGGCAAGUUCUGAAUUCAACAUACAAAAGGAACUAGGUAGUAUCUCACACACACAUGGCAAAAGUCAAUAAUACCAACUACUACCUAUCCAGUUCAUGCAAUUGUUAGCAAAUGAUUAUCAUGUCCCUUAUCUUAAUGCCAUAACAAGAUCCACAAUGUUCACACAUAUGUACAUUUACAUAGUUCUUAAAUAAUUUUUUUUUGAAGGGGUAUUAAAAACUAAUUAAAACAUGACUAUUUCCCUAAAUACUUAAAAAUAUCCUAAUUACAUAAAAGCAACACAUAAUACAAAGAAAACACAAUAUGACUUAAAAUUAUCCAAGACAUGCCGAUUCUACAAUCAUACUGUGGCUGACAGGAAAAAAAGCAUGGCAACAAAAACCUACGAUAGUAUAGUAUGCCCACCUCCAACUAAAAGUUGUGCACUAUCCUCAAUGCACUAAAUUAAAGUAAAAUAGAGGAGAGUGAGAACAUACCUGGGAUGCACUAGGUGCCCAAAUCAUGAGCAUCCCCAGAUGGGGGUAUAUUAGCUAGCAAAGAUGAUGGUGGUGGAUGUGCACACUAGAUAAUGGAUCCGCUGCUAUAGAUGUACACCUCUGCCUAUCGAUAAAUGCAGACUCCAUUGAAUCAUACUUGGCCAUUUUAACGGCCUGGUCAUAUGGUAAAUCAAGCUCCUACAAGUCUUCUAUGUGACCUCUUUUGUACCCAAUUACUGGGACCUCCUCAUCACCCUUCCCAAGGAAAUCAAACUAUCUUGAUAUGCAUGGAGGUGAUAUCUAGACCACCUAGGGUAUAAUUAAGAAACUGGCUGCAACACAGCUCUCUAUGAGAGAGCAUACUUUGCUCAUAAUAUAUCAAACUUUCUCUCAUUUAGGCUAGAUCCAGUGUAUCUGUCUCUGUGUAUUGGGAUGUAAACUAACUUUCAAACUCAUCAAUCCAUGUCUAAAAGUCAUCAAAUAAAUUGGAUAGUGCAACAUUCUAUGCAACCUCCUACCAGGCCUCUGCCUGCUCAACUUUAGUCCUAAUAUUUGAUCUCAUCUUCUCUUAGAGGGUAGUCAUCUCAAUCUUAAUAACCCUCACUCAAGAAUUGGUGGCCCUCUAUCAGUCUGCUAGGCUCUAUAAAAACUCACUAGAUAUAGUGAUCAUAUCUGAAGUAGGAGUUGCAAUGGAUGGGCAAGUAAGCCCUGAAGGUACACCCACCAACUCUGAGGUCAAACCCAAGGAUGAAGAAAAAGUAGUAUGUGUGCCCUAGCCCUGCAUACUAGAAUUUAGAGCCUCUCUCUACUUCUCUAUCUCCAUGUCAAUACUAACAUCCACAUUACCACGAUGUGCCUCAUCAGGCUCUGAGGAAACUUCUAGGCCCUUAAACUAGCCCUUAAUACUACUUUCUGCUAUUUUGGUAUCCUAGAAGUGCCUAGACAUGCCAGAUCUUUCAUAGUAUUUGUCUGUGUAGUAGCCAUCACAAGUACCCUCUUAUCAAACCCUGGUAUCUCAGUCACACCAGCCAUAUCACAUAGCCUCUGAAUCAUGUAAGAGAAUGGUAAAUUAGUCAACUCCCCAAAUACUCUAUUGUGUAACUCAUACCUAAGGAUGGAAACAAAAUCAAUGGCAUAACCGAUAGGAUGGAAACAAAAUCAAUGGCAUGACCGACCAUCAUACAAGUAACCCACUCCCAUGUCAAUGUAUUAUCUGAAGUAGUGGGUAUCAGUCGGUAUCUAAUCAGCAACCACCAAAACUUAGCCUAAAUGUCAAUAGGCUCUUCUUGAUCAUAGCCUGCCCCUCAAUCUAUGGGGUUGCAUCACCCAAAGAUAAAAAAUAACUAGGUAUCCACCUAGCCAUCUAAACCCUCUCUCAUCGAUGCUCAGCCUUCUGCAUGAUAUGUCGAAAACGUACGACCCUCAGUCUGUGGUCACACUCAGUUAUAGAUGCAUGAGUGAUAUAAUUUAGGCUGAAUAUAACUCUAUGAUAGUAUCUAUUAAAAUGUCAACUCUGACCCCUCUAACCAAUAUAUGAUCAAGAUGUGGCUGCAUUAUAAAUCUCACUAGGCUUGGAUGUCUGUGCAAAGGAAUGACUACUGUAGCUCUACAGGAUUUAUAAAAUUCCCAUACCAUAGCUAGGCUAUAGGAACUGACUGGUCUAGUUAUCCACUCUAGCUAAUAUUUGUAGCUGUGGCACUCGAUCUUGCCCCGAUAGGUCAAUUCAGUGCUCUUUAGAAAUGCACCUAGUAGGCUUAUGUUGUAGUAUCUCCUACAUCCCUUUCACACACCACCUCUAAUGUCCCUCUUUGGGAGGUGUAUCUGAGUCAUAUAUAGGAGCGAGACUCUGUUAUACUGAUGCAUCAUGGGAAAUUUGCUUUGUACCCUCCUCAAAUUGGGGUACAUUUGUCUGUUGUACAUGAGUAGCGAUACCCUCCUCAAACUGGAGCACCAUCAAAGGAUCCUUCUAUUUAACCUAAUAAAAUAAAUCCUGGGACCCCUCCUCAGACUAGGGGUCUUGAGAAAAAACCUAUGGAGUAGGCUCAAAAUCUGUCUUCUCAUUAUCACCAUCAUUAGGUGGAGGAGUGUGUGGGGGUGACAUCCUUGUUGACUUCAUUCAUAGUCAGGCUGCAACUGUCUGAGCAAUAUGGCAAGUCUAUCCUUUUAUGACUAUGUAUGUCACCCUUACUACAGUGUCUCUACGUUGCUGCCUUGGGUACUCUUCUACUAAACCGCUAGGCUCGGGAGACUCUGCCCAUCUCCUAGAGGUAGCGAACUAUGUCUUCUUCAAAUUUGUAGGUGUCAUAUGUACCUAAAAAACUAGUUCUUAUUUUUCAACAAAAGUGAGGGAUAACAAAAGUUGAAGAAAAAUUCAAGAUUCAAAAAGUUUGAAUUUUUCCUCAAUUUUCACACCUCUAUAACCUGUUUGAAAUCCCAACAAGUCCAAUAAGCAUAUGCCUAUCAUAAAUCAUAACUCUCAAUUAAACAAACAUGCUCAACUAGUGGUAUUACUUUUAUUCAUUCAAGUUUAACUUCCGAUUGGGGCCUAACUUUAUAUUAUUCUUCAAAGUAAGGCCUUACAUUAUGAUUUUAGGUUACUUCAAGGAUCCGAUAUAUAAGAAUGAUAGAUAGAUAUAUAUAUUUUACAAUAAAAUACACAUAUCAACUUGUUUAAACAAUAAACAGAUUAAUACAUAACCAUUAGGAGCUGAGAAAGUUACCUCUUAUAUGAAGAACCGGAAGUGAGUAAUGAAAAACUCAAGAAAAACUACAGUUGUAACUUGUUUUUAGUGUGUUGGGGCAAGUUUAUAUUACAAAUAAGUGUCAAUAUACCCUUUACUUAAGUGUGGGCUUAGUUUGUAUUUUAAAAUAGAUGUUCGAAUUCAAAGGUAAAAGUGAAGUUUCGAGGAUUAGAAUGAUGUUAAGGUUGUUUAAAUAUAUGUGGGGGCUGUUUUAGGUCAUAAGUGUUGGUGGGCCCAAAAUUUGAAUUAAAAAGUAGCCCCAAUUUUCACCUAGCCGUGUCUUGUACUUGCGGCUAUCACCUGCGGUCAGGGUUUGGGUGCAGGUGCCACCUGCGGCCAGCAGGUGCUGGGCCAAAAAUUUUGGCCCACUUUUGUGCAAUCCAAACUUGGAGUUUUGAUCUUUUUCCAGUUACUUAUGGUCCCGUAACCUAAGUUUGAGGUCCCAAAAGUAAAAUUAGAUGCCAAAGCCCAUAACUUUCCAUUUUUCAUCCUCAAAAUUUCCACUUUUAAACUUAUUACUCAACUUACUGUGAGGGACUUGUAAACAUGAUAGGUUGAUCACACAGUCCACUUACUAGUAAAUCGAUGAAUAUAGCAAUUUUUUCUGUAUUUUGGGUAAGUCCAAGAGAUAAAAAACUACAAAAAGGAAAAACAACAAAAAUAUGAACAAUAACAAUAGUGGGUUGCCUCCCACCCAACCCUUGAUAUAAUAUCGCAGCACGACAUGGCUGUAUUGGUUACUCAAACUUCACCAACAAGCCUAUGGGUUGCCUCUCAUGCAACUCUUGAUUUUAUGUCAUGGCACGACGUAGGUAUCUUGACUACUAAAAAUUCAUCAAGAUACCCAUAGGAGUAUCCUCCAGGUUCAUCAAUGCAAUUACUCACCGAUACUACCCUCAUUUUGGUUGGAUGCCUCAUUGCCUUUCAAAUGUUGAAUGUAGCCUCCUCAUCCCUGACUCUAAAUUUCAUCUCACCUUUCUCUAUGUCAACCAUAGCUCUACCUGUGGACAUAAAUGGUCUUCCCAAUAUAAUGGGCAUCUUGGUGUCAACCUCAUAGUUUUUUUAAACUAAAUUAGGCAAUAGCCUAUUUUAUUAAACACAAAAGAGUUCAAUAAAAAAUAAAUGGGUCAAGCCCAAGAGUGACCUGACUCGAAUGGCCUGACCCAGAUCUAACAAAACAAAAAGAUACUAUCAGACAACCAUAGGUUUAGUAUUCAUUUUUGAAAGUAAAGCAGCCAUAGUGUUGUCCCUUCGCCUUCUCCACCUAGAUCACCAAUGAGGCUAUUUAUACAUGCUUUAGCUUCUUGCUCAAUCUAUGCGGAUCAUCAGCUAUCUUCCUCUCCCUUUGUUAAGCUAAGUGUCUAAACUUCUAAUAACCUUCUUCCCUUUUCUAGCUCAAUGGGUUGAGUUUCUUAAGAAACAAAUACCACCAUUUGUACUAGAAAAUAGAGUCCAAUAACUAAAGUUUCACAGCUUUAACAUCAUAAAAGGUGUGUCUAAACCACUCUUUGGGAUUUUAUAGAUCUGCCUUAGCUGGUAUUUCAGUAUACGAACCCUUUUCAUCCAAAAUCUCAGUAGAUGCAGGCAUCAUACUCAAAAGAAAAUCACUUCUAACACCAGGUAGUUACAUCUCUAUAAAUUCCUAAUUUGAUUACAACACUACUUAUAUAUAUUUUUUAACAUUAUACUAUGCUAUAUUAUUUCUAUUUUUCAAUAGGAUGAGAUAAGUGAAAAGAACCAUUCAUCAAUUUGCAUCGAUUUUGAUAUUCUAGUUCCAGGUUCCAAAUUCUUGCUAACACCUUAUCACCUCUUCCUUAUUCACUUUGUGAAAUCCCUAAAUGUUGUUGUAUAUUGCACCGUUUUUAUGAAAGUUUUUUUGGUACUUCAAAUCCGUUGUGAAACUUUUCUAAAAUUUGGAGUCGUAAUUUUGUCGAGCAUAAUGAUAGUUUUUCCUUUUGCUAGAAGCUGUUCCAUAUUAUUGUAUUGAAAUUCACUUGAAAAGUCAAAAACUAAAUUAGUAAAACAAAUCAGCUAGAGUGUUACCUUUCCAAAAAGAAUGUACCACUAUAACUGAUCAAUUUUCUAUCAUAGCUUUAAUAGAUUUGACCACGAUUGUUAUACUCCAUGGGACCUUCCACUGUUGAUUGGGAAUCUAUACCAUAGCCCAUGAAUCAGUUUGCACCACUACUUGAUGAAUAUAAUUAGUUGUACAGAACUGAAGGCAUUCCCUGAUAUCUCUAGCUUCUGCAACUAAGCUAGUAGCAUCUUUAAUUCUAGAACCUUUUGCUACCACUAGGUCUCCAAACUAAUCUCUAAUGCAAAAUGCAAUAUAACUAGGUCCAGGAUUUCAUUUAAAGGCACCAUCUAUCUUACCCUUUAAUGUAACACCCCGAGAGUACACCCUGGAUGCCACACGGUGCUAACAGUCUCAAGAUACCACAAGCUAACCCCUGAGCUAGUGCCUACUGUGAGUACUGAAUACUAUACUGAUAAUGAACGUGUGCGAAAACAACUAAAUAUGCCAUAAGGUUUCAAUACAGAAAACAAUACAACUGAAAUCCACAAGUCUAAAACAUAAGAAAAAAUGCUAAAAAUUGACUGAUAAAACAGACAACUAACUGACUGUUUGAAAUAUCUGAAAGCCUCUAAAACUGACUAAAUGAGAGUUGAUGGGAUCGGCCCCAACUAAAUCCAACUGACUACUAAACUGAAAUACUGAAAUCACAUAAUCGGUCCUUCGAAUAUGAGGACACAAAACUGUUACUGCUGUUGAUACACUGGGAGGUCUAGGUGCAGUCGGGAACCUGAGCAUCUGAAUAUACUGUUAUGCUAGAUGGGGUUAAGCUGAUAUGCAUGGGCUUAUGUACAUAAAUAAUAACAGACUGAAUGAAUAGCAUGAGAUAACUGAUACAUUUUAUGCAUGAAAGCGGUAAAGCCAAGGAUACAUGACUAAGCAUAUAACAUGAUACAGAAUAGCUUUUAAACUGAAGUACUAAAGUACUGAUUCUGAAUAACUGCUAACAGUAUGCUAUGGUCAAACAAACCUAAAACAGAACUUUGUACUGAAUACUGAACUGCGAUUGUGGGAGCAUGCUAUAAUCGACAUGCCCUAAUGUACUAUCAGGGUCCAACUAGUAACCCAGUUGGAAGGGUGUUAGCACCAUGUCAAGGGUACUAACAAUGGCUAUGUGGAUCCACUAAUCUGAUAUCUCGAAGGACGAAGGUGUCAUGCCUAUCUGAUGGGAGACCCUUCUAAGUCUAUAGUGGUGUAGGUAUAGAACAAAGGGACUGCUACUAACAUCUCAUACCUAUUGACAAGGGAGACAAAUGACUCAUACUUACUUACAAGGGAAAUGCCAUCCCUAAUCACUUGGUGCUAAGUCUUUACUCCCAACUAAAGGAUAUUGAUUACUGGACUGAACUAAGUUUGACUGAUAUGGUAACUGACUAAACUGACCAUAUUCUAAUAUAUAUGAAACCAUUCUGAAAAUACUGAGACUAAGUAAACAACUAAGUUUUUGGUUAUUCAUAAUCCCCCAGACUCGAUAACAUUACCAGUAGAAAUAUACUAAAGCUUCAUAAGCAUGAUAAGUAGUCAUUGUUCAAAAUUCAUCUCUUAGGCAUUUCAUCACACAAAUGGGAGUCAUAAAGUUAAAGCAUGGGAAUAGUUAAAUCAUAGAAUAAUAACAUAAUUUCAAUACAAAAAUCAUGGGUUAAGGAUUUCACUUGUAAAUAUCAUCCUUCAAAUAGGUCAAAGGCUAAUUCCAACAAAAACACAUAUCAACAUGAUAUAAAAAUUAAAAUUCAUGGAAGUUCAUGGAUAAAAUUUAUGAAAACAUGUAACGGCCAUGAUUUUAAACUUUAAAGCAGAUUCUUGGACUCCAUGGGUGAAUAGGACCCAUGACUGAACAUCUAACAUACCUUAACUGAUGAAUUUUCAUAAGUCCUUGGAGAUAUUUCUUGAAGAUUGAACUUGGAUUUAAAGAAGCAAGGGUUUUAUUCUUGAGAGAGUUUGUGAAAAGAUGAGUGAUUUUGCCAUUUUGGGACCUUAAUCUCAUGUUAUGGGUGAGGCAAAGUAGGGAAAAUGACUCAAACAUCCCCACCUACAAGAAUUAAUUAAACUAAACAUGGACAGUUAUGUGGUAAGUAACGCAUUGUAUCACUUAGUCGACGCACAACAUUGCACCUCACCAACGCAAUAAGUGGCGCACCGUGGCCAUAUCGCAUUGACUCGCUAGUUUGAACAUCCAAACAAGCCUUAAACUACAUCCUAAAAAUUUAAAACUUACAUAAGACAUGCUAUCGACCACCUCGAUCCUAAAUUAACUUUAAAAUCGAUGUUCUAAGGUUGGAAAGGUCGAGAUUAAAAUCACCAAAGUUUAAGAGGCUUUGGAAAUGACUAAGCCUUAAUAUUUAGUGAAAUUUUCUAAGUCUUGGACCCCUUUAGCAUGCAAGAAUGAGCUAAAAUAAGGUUGGAUCUUAUGGGGUCUUACAAUAUCUCUCACUUGGGAACAUUCAUCCUCAAAUGAGACUGGUUAAUCUAAGACUUAUUGAGGUACUAAGAUUUUAUCCUGAAUAUGCACAACUGAAACAUGAUUACAUAACUGAGUCUGAACAUGGUGACUGACUGAACUGAUUCAUUAAUGCAUGCAAUGACAUAUAUAUAAUUAUAUGGCUAGGACUGAGAAUAAAAAAGAGAUAAUAGAAGGGAAAACUUUUACCUUGAAAUAAAUCUGAGUUGGCAGAGAAAAGUUGAGGGUACUUGGUUUGCAUAUCUGCUUCCGCUUUUAAGUGGCUCCCUCAACAGAUUGAUUCUACCAAAUAUCUUUGACCAAACUUCUUUAUUCCUUAGUAUAUGAAUAUGGUGAUCUAAGAGUUCGACUAGGACUUCUUUGUGAGGAAGGCUAUCCUAAACAUCUAAGCUUUCUAAAGAAACAACGACAACUGGAUCACCAAUACACUUUUUUCAACAAAGAAAUGUGAAACAUUGGGUUCACUGAUGCCAAAUAUGUAGGCAAAUUAGGCUUGUAAGCUACUUUUCCAAAGUGGCUCAUGAUUUUGUAAGGGCAAACAUAUCAGGGACUAAGCUUCCCCUUCUUUCCAAACCUCUUCACUCCCUUCAUGGGAGAGAUUUUCAAAUAAACCAAGUCUCUAACUGUGAACUCAAGAUCUCUCUUAGGUAUAUCCGCAUAGGAUUUCUGAUAGCUUUGGGCUGUCUUAAGCCUUUCUCUAAUUACCUGAACUUUCUCCAGUGUAUCAAAUACUGAAUCUGGCCCUAUUAAUACAAUUUCACCUACCUCAAACCAACCAAUAGGAGAUCUAUAUCUCCUCCUAUACAGAGCCUCAAAUAGAUCUAUUUGGAUACUGGAUGAUAAUUGUUAUUGUUGGCAAACUCAAUCAAUAGCAAGUGAUCAUCCUAACUGCCCUUAAAUUCAAUAAUGCAAGCUCUCCAUAUGUCUUCUAGGGUCUGAAUGGUCCUCUCUUCUUGAUUAUCUGUAAGAUAAUACUGUACUGAGAUGAACUUGAGUACCAAGACCCUUCUAAAAAUCUUUUCAUAAGUGAGAGGUAAACUGAGUACCUCUAUCUGAAAUAAUGGAUAAUGGGACUCCAUACAACCUAACCAACUCUCUAAUAUAGAGAUUGGAAUAAUCCUCGGCUGAAUAAGAAGUAUGGACUGGUAAUAAAUAGGCUGAUUUGGUCAUUCUAUCUUCCAUAACCUAAAUCAAAUCAUGCUGACGACAUGAAUAAGGCAACCCUAUCAUAAAGUUAUGUUCACCUCUUCCCACUUCCAAGUGGGGAUGCUGAACUCCUACAGAAUGCCACUAGGUCAUUGGUGCUCAGCCUUAACCUACUGACAAUAAGCACACUUGGCUACAAAAUCAGCAAUAUCCCUUUUUAUAUCACUCCACCAAUAAAUUUUCAACAAAUCACGGUACAUCUUAGUGGCUCCUAGGUGAAUAGAGUAAAGUGCCCUAUGUGUUUCUACGAGAAUUUGAUGUCUCAAACCAUCUACACAUGGCACACACAGUCUACCCUGGAAAUGCAACACACCAUCUCCACCUUGGGAGAAAACCUCUACUUUCUGAUCUCUGACUGACUCCUUCAACUCCACUAGACUGAGGUCCCUAUCUUGUUUUUUUUUUUACUUCAGCAACCAAACAAGAUUCCAAACUAUUCUAAACCCAAACACUAUGCUUAGAUGAGUCAACCAAAUGCGUAACCUAGCCAACUGAUGAACCUCCUGAACCAGCUUUUUCUUAUCAUUCUUAACACGAGCCACACUACCUAUAGAUAAUCUACUAAGGGCAUCUACCACUACAUUGGCCUUGCUCAGAUGAUACAAAACACUCAUAUCAUAAUCCUCCAAAAAUUCUAACCACUUUCUUUGAUAGAGAUUUAACUCUCUCUACAAAAAGAUAUACUACAAACAUUUAUGGUCCACGAACACAUUAACAUACAUCCCAUAUAGAUAAUGCCUCCAAAUUUUUAAGGCAAACACAACAGCUGCUAACUCAAAAUCAUGGGUAGGAUAAUUCUUCUCAUGGGGUUUAAGUUGUCUAGAGGUAUAAGCUAUGACCUUAGCUCUCUACAUCAAAACACAACCCAAACCAACUCUGGAAGCAUCACAGUAAGCAACAAACCCAUCUGAACCAUCCGGAAAGGUCAAAACUAGGGCUGAGAUAAGUCAAGCCUUCAAUUCAUGAAAACUCUUCUCACAAGAAUCUGACCACUAAAACUUGACUUUCUUCUGAGUCAAUCUGGACAUAGGGGAUGCAAUAGAUAUAAAACCUAUAAAAAACCAUCGAUAAUAGCUAUUUAAACCCAAGAAACUCCUAAUAUCUAAUGGAGAAAUAGGUCUGGGCUAGUUUCUCACUGCUUUGGUCUUUUGAGGGUCAAUCUAAUGCCAUCAUCAAAAAUAAUAUGGAAAAGAAAAGCUAUUGAUCUUAGCCAAAACUCGCACUUACUAAAUUAGCGAACAACUGAUGGGCUCUAAGAGUCUGUAAUACUAUUCUGAGGUGGCUGGCAUAAUUAUUUUCAUUAUGGGAAUAGACAAGGAUGUCAUCUAUGAAGACUAUGAAAAAUAUAUCCAAGUACUUCUUGAACACUCUGUUCAUCAAGUCCAUGAAAGUUGCUGGGGAAUUUGUUAGACCAAAGGACAUGACUAGAAAUUCAAAGUGACCAUAUCAAAUUCUGAAAGCUAUUUUUGGAAUGUCAUAUUCUCUAAAUCUAAACUGAUAAUAGCUGGAUCUGAGGUCUAUUUUAGAGAAAUAACUGGCACCUGAAGUUGAUGGAACAAGUCAUCAAUCUUAGGGAGUGAAUACUUAUUCUUGAUUGUGACUUUGUUCAACUAAUGAUAAUUGAUGUAGAUUUUAAGAGAACCAUCUUUCUUACGCACGAAAAAGACUGAAGAGCCCCAUGGGGAAACGCUGGGCCUGAUAAAUCCUUUAUCUAAGAGAUGUUUCAGCUACUCUUUCAACCCUCUAAGCUUAUUUGGAGCCAUUCUAUAGAGAGGAAUAAAGAUGGGAUGGGUAUCUAGAAGAAGGUCUAUUUCGAAGUCAAUUUCCCCUUUGGGAGGAACUCCAAGAAGAUCUUCGGGAAAACAUCUGGAAAUUCCCUCACUAUUGAAAUAGACUCAAGGCUGGGAGUGUCUAAACUAAAGUCUUUGACUUGAACAAGAUGGUAAACACACCCCUUGGAUAUCCUUUUUCUCGCUUUAAGGUACAAAACAAACUGACCCCUAAGUGCUAAAGUAUUACUCCUCCAUUCAAGGACUGUUUUAUUAAGAAACUAAAAAUAAACAACUCUGUUUCUAGAAUCAACUAAAGCAUAGCAUGAGUGAAGCCAAUCUGUGCCGAGAAUGACAUUAAAAUCAGUCAUCUCUAACUCCAAAGGAUCCAUUAAAGUGACUUUCUUGGAUAUUGUAAUCGAACAGAUCUUGUAUACCUGCCUGGCUAUAAUAGAAAUAUCUACUGAGGUGGACACAGAGAAGGGUUAUGCUAAAGUCUUAGGACUGACACCAAAAUUCACAGCUACAUAAGGGGUUACAAAGGAAAGCGAAGCUACGGGGUCUAACAAAGUAUAAAAUAGAGGUGAAAGACCUAAAAAUACCAAUAACCAUAUCAAAAGAACUUUUAUGAUCCUGUUGGGACUGAAGUACAUACAAUCUGUUCUGGUACUAACCGCUGGUGGCAUUAGAAGUGGCGCCUUCUACUGAGUUGGGCGUCCUGCUAGUGCUACUGAAGAGUUAAUCUGUUGGAGAUCAUUCAUACCUUUCCACAUACCUAUCAAACAUUUCCUCAACCCAUGGUCUAGCUUACCACAUCCAAAACACACAUCACUUCAAGCCCUGCAUAUACCUUGAUAAUUUGUAUCACACUUCCAGUAAAUGGGAUUAGUCCGACUACUGUUCACACUACCCUGAGUCUUAGAUCCUGGCGCCCUAUCUCGAUUAUUUCUGAACUUUGACACUAGAGCACUAGCUGAAGAUGGAGAUGGAGAUAAAUAUUUCUGAUAGAAUUGAGGAUGGUUACCACCCUCCAACCUUGGCUCGGCAAAACUAAAGCUCCCUGUCUUCUCCCUCUUACUCUCUCUUUUCUUCUCCUUAACUUUCUCUUCCUCAAUCUAUUGAGAAUGGACCGUCAAUCGAUAAAAGUCUAUCCCUUUAUCAACAUAGUGGUCCUACACUCCCUAACCAUGCUAUCAGCCACAUCAGAGACAAACUUAAUCAUCCUAGAUCUAUUAUCAGACACCACAUGAGGAGCAUACCUUGCCAGCUGAGUAAACUUAAGUGAAUACUCUUUCACACUCAUAUUGCCUGCUUUAAAUUAAUAAAUUCCAGCACCUUAGAUUCCCUUAGAUCCAAAUUAAAGAACCUAUCUAAAAAGGCUAUAACAAACUCCUCCUAUUCAACAGGCCCUGCAUCUGCGCUUCUAUCUCCCUUCUACUGCUUAUAAUAGGUGUGAGCAACAUCCUGCAACUGGCAAGUACCCAACUCUGGACUCUCAUUAGAAUUAACAACCAUAAUGUUAGUUACCUUUUGAACUAUUUCAAGAAACUCUUGCGGAUUCUUAUCAUACUUGGAUCCCAAAAACAAAGUAGGGUUCAUUCGGGUGAAGCCCUGAAUCCUAGCUGUGGCAAUAUUAGCCAUUGAAAAGAUGGGACAGUAGCCUGCUAAUUUUUCUGAGCUGCUACUGAGUGAGCUAAAUUAGUAAAUACAACUUUAAAUUUGGCAUGAGAGAUAUGCUCAUUUAGGGGAUCUUCCUGAACAGGUGGAUGAGCAGGCUGAUUUCUAUUUUUCCUUCCGUUAUUCUUUUUGGGAGGCAUGUUCUAUAAAUAGAAAGAAUAUUUAAUUAGAAAGAGAGUUUAAAUAGAGAUCAUGCUCAUUCGGACAACACAAAUACUGAAAGAAGGGGAACUUUUCCUAAAACGUCUUGUAGCCUCUUGUCCAUAAGUGUUGCGCGCUUUACACCCAUGCACAAGACUCUACUCAAUGUGCCUUUUAAACUCCCUAGGACGCGUUGAAAACUUAGGAUUUAAUACUAAUUUUGUAACGCUUCGAGAGUACACCCUAUACGCCACACGAUUCUUACAGUCUUGAGAGACCACAAGCUAACCCAUGAGCUGGUACCUGUUGUGAGCACUGAAUAAUAUACUGAUAACAAACAUGUGUAGAAACAACUAAGUGUUCCAUAAGGUUUCAAUACUGAAAAUAAUACAACUAAAAUUUGUAAGUCUGAAACAUAAGAAAAAUUUUUGAAAACUGACUAACAAAAUGACAACUAACUGAUUAUCUGAAAUGUUCGAAAGCCUCUAAAACUGACUGAAUGAGAGUUGAUGGGACAAUCCCUAACUAAAUCCAACUGAUUACUGAACUGAAAUACAAAAAUAACAUAACCGAUCCUGGAAUAUGAAGACUCAACACUGCUAAUACACUAGGAGAUCUAGGUGCGGUUUGAAAAAGAAAAAGAGGUCUAGGUGCCUAUUUUAUUAAAAGAAAAAGAGUUCAAUACAAAAUAAAUGGGCCAGGCCAAAAAUUAACCUGACCCAAAUGGCCUGAACCGGAUCCAACAAACAAAAAAAUACUAUCAGACAACCAUAGGUUUAGUAUUCAUUAUAGAAAGAUAAACAACCAUAGUGUUAUCCCUUCUUCGCUGCCUAGAUCACCGAUGAGGUUCUAUCUAUGUGCUUUAGCUUCUUCCUCACCCUAUGUGGAUCAUCAACUUUCUAUCUCUCCAUUUGUUAAGUUAAGUGUCUAAACUUCUAAUUACCUUCUUCCCUUUUCUAGCUCAAUGGGUUGAGUUUCUUAAGAAACUAAUACUACCAUUUUACAAUGAAAAUAGAGUCCAGUAACUAAAGUUUCAUAGCUUUGAUUUCAUAAAAGGUGUGUCUAAACCACUCUUUGGGAUUUUCUAGAUCUACCUUUGCUGGCAUUUGAGUAUUAAAACCCUUUGCAUCCAAAAUCUCACUGGAUGCAGGCAUCAUACUCAAAAGGAAAUCACUUCUAAGACUAGGUAGUUACAUCUCUACAAAUUCCUAAUUUGAUUACAACACCACUUAUUUAUGUUUUAUCACAUGAUAUAAUGCUACAUUAUUUCUAUUUUUCUACAGAAUGAGAUGAGUGAAAAGAACCCUUUAUCGAUUUGCAUCAAUUUGCAUAUUCCAGUUCUAGGUUCUAAUUUUUUGUUAACAUCUUAUCCCCUUGCUCUUUAUUCACCAUCUGAAACCUCCAAAUGUUGUUGUAUGUUGCACUAUUUUUAUGAAAUUUUUGUUGCUACUUCAAAUUAGUUGUGAAACUUUUCUAAUAUUUAGAGUCGUAAUUUUGUCGAAAUAAUGAUAGCUUUUCCUUCUGCUGGCCACUAUUACAUAUUAUUGUACUGAAAUUCACCUACAAAAUCAAAAACUAAAUUAGUAAAACAAAUUAGCUAGAGUGUUAUAUUCCCGAAAGGAAUGUACCACUCUAACUGAUCUAUUUCCAUCUUAGCUUUAAUAGAUUUGACCACGAUUGUUAUACUCCAUGGGACCUUCCACUGUUGAUUGGGAAUCUAUACCAUAGCCCAUGAAUCAGUUUGCACCACUAUUUGAUGAAUAUAAUUAGUUGUACAGAACUGAAGGCAUUCCCUGAUAGCUCUAGCUUCUGCAACUAAGCUAGUAGCAUCUUUAAUUCUAGAACCUUUUGCUACCACUAGGUCUCCAAACUAAUCUCUAAUGCAAAAUACAAUAGAACUAGGUCCAGGAUUUCAUUUAAAGGCACCAUCUGUCUUACCCUUUAAUGUAACACCCCGAGAGUACACCCUGGAUGCCACACGGUGCUAACAGUCUCAAGAUACCACAAGCUAACCCCUGAUCUAGUGCCUACUAUGAGUACUGAAUAAUAUACUGAUAACGAACGUGUGCGAAAACAACUAAAUAUGCCAUAAGGUUUCAAUACAGAAAACAAUACAGCUGAAAUCCACAAGUCUAAAACAUAAGAAAAAAUGCUAAAAACUGAAUGAUAAAACUGACAACUAACUGAUUGUCUGAAAUGUCCAAAAACCUCUAAAACUAACCAAAUGAGGGUUUAUGGAACAGUACUCAACUAAAUCCAAUUGACAUCUUAACUAAAAUAUUAAAAUAACAUAAUAGGUCCUCGAAAUAUUAGGACUCACCACUACUACUAUUGCUGAUGCACUGGGAGGUCUAGGUGUGGUCGAGAACCUGAGGAUCUGAACCAAUGAUAUGAUAUAUCAUAGCGCAAGAAAUGAGUAUGCGGUUAGUACUUUGAAUGUAUUGGUAUGCUAGGUGGGGUUAGGCUGAUAUACAUGGGCUCGUGUACAUUAAUAAUGACUGAAUGAAUAGCAUAAGAUAACUGAUACAUGGUAUGCAUGAAAGUUGAUACAUGACAUAAUUUCAAUUCAAAAAUGAUAGGUUAAGGAUUUAACAUGCAAAUAUUAUCCUUCAAAUGGGUCAAAGGCUAAUUCCAAUAAAAACACAUGUAAACAUGAUAUAAAAAUUAAAAUUCAUGAAAGUUCACAGAUAAAAUUCAUGAAAACAUGUAAAGGUCAUGAUUUUAAACUUUAAAGCAGAUUCUUGGACUCCAUGGGAGAAAAGGACCCAUGAAUGAACAUCUAGCAUACCUUAACUGAUGAAUUUUUGUGAGUCCUUGGUGAUUUCUUGAAGCUUAAACUUGGAUUUGAAGAAGCUAGGGUUUUGUUCUUGAGAGAGUUUGUGAAAAUAUGAGUGAUUUUUCCCUUUUGGGACCUUAAUAUCAUGUUAUGGGUGAGACUAAGUAAGGGAAAACUGACUCAAAUAGCCCCACAUACCCAAAAUUAAUUAAACUAAAUAUGGCUAGUGACGCAUUAAGCGACGCAUCGCAUCGCUCUGUCGAUGCGUUAGGCAACGUGCCACGUUGUACCCCACCAAUGUGACAAGUGGCACGCCACAGUCAUAUCGCGUUGACUCGCUGGUUUGAACAUCCAAUCAAUCCUCAAAACUCGUCUGAAAAAUCCAAAACUUACCCAAGACAUGCUAGCGACCACCCCAAUCAUGAAUCAACUUCAAAAUCGACAUUCUAAGGCUGGAAAGCUCAAAAUUAAAAUCAUCCAAGUUUACGAGGCUUUGGAAAUGCCUAAGUCUUAACACUUUGUGAAAUUUUCUAAGUCUUGGACCCCUUUAGCAUGCAAUAGCUUUUCCUUCUGCUGGCCACUAUUACAUAUUAUUGUACUGAAAUUCACCUACAAAAUCAAAAACUAAAUUAGUAAAACAAAUUAGCUAGAGUGUUAUAUUCCCGAAAGGAAUGUACCACUCUAACUGAUCUAUUUCCAUCUUAGCUUUAAUAGAUUUGACCACGAUUGUUAUACUCCAUGGGACCUUCCACUGUUGAUUGGGAAUCUAUACCAUAGCCCAUGAAUCAGUUUGCACCACUAUUUGAUGAAUAUAAUUAGUUGUACAGAACUGAAGGCAUUCCCUGAUAGCUCUAGCUUCUGCAACUAAGCUAGUAGCAUCUUUAAUUCUAGAACCUUUUGCUACCACUAGGUCUCCAAACUAAUCUCUAAUGCAAAAUACAAUAGAACUAGGUCCAGGAUUUCAUUUAAAGGCACCAUCUGUCUUACCCUUUAAUGUAACACCCCGAGAGUACACCCUGGAUGCCACACGGUGCUAACAGUCUCAAGAUACCACAAGCUAACCCCUGAUCUAGUGCCUACUAUGAGUACUGAAUAAUAUACUGAUAACGAACGUGUGCGAAAACAACUAAAUAUGCCAUAAGGUUUCAAUACAGAAAACAAUACAGCUGAAAUCCACAAGUCUAAAACAUAAGAAAAAAUGCUAAAAACUGAAUGAUAAAACUGACAACUAACUGAUUGUCUGAAAUGUCCAAAAACCUCUAAAACUAACCAAAUGAGGGUUUAUGGAACAGUACUCAACUAAAUCCAAUUGACAUCUUAACUAAAAUAUUAAAAUAACAUAAUAGGUCCUCGAAAUAUUAGGACUCACCACUACUACUAUUGCUGAUGCACUGGGAGGUCUAGGUGUGGUCGAGAACCUGAGGAUCUGAACCAAUGAUAUGAUAUAUCAUAGCGCAAGAAAUGAGUAUGCGGUUAGUACUUUGAAUGUAUUGGUAUGCUAGGUGGGGUUAGGCUGAUAUACAUGGGCUCGUGUACAUUAAUAAUGACUGAAUGAAUAGCAUAAGAUAACUGAUACAUGGUAUGCAUGAAAGUUGAUACAUGACAUAAUUUCAAUUCAAAAAUGAUAGGUUAAGGAUUUAACAUGCAAAUAUUAUCCUUCAAAUGGGUCAAAGGCUAAUUCCAAUAAAAACACAUGUAAACAUGAUAUAAAAAUUAAAAUUCAUGAAAGUUCACAGAUAAAAUUCAUGAAAACAUGUAAAGGUCAUGAUUUUAAACUUUAAAGCAGAUUCUUGGACUCCAUGGGAGAAAAGGACCCAUGAAUGAACAUCUAGCAUACCUUAACUGAUGAAUUUUUGUGAGUCCUUGGUGAUUUCUUGAAGCUUAAACUUGGAUUUGAAGAAGCUAGGGUUUUGUUCUUGAGAGAGUUUGUGAAAAUAUGAGUGAUUUUUCCCUUUUGGGACCUUAAUAUCAUGUUAUGGGUGAGACUAAGUAAGGGAAAACUGACUCAAAUAGCCCCACAUACCCAAAAUUAAUUAAACUAAAUAUGGCUAGUGACGCAUUAAGCGACGCAUCGCAUCGCUCUGUCGAUGCGUUAGGCAACGUGCCACGUUGUACCCCACCAAUGUGACAAGUGGCACGCCACAGUCAUAUCGCGUUGACUCGCUGGUUUGAACAUCCAAUCAAUCCUCAAAACUCGUCUGAAAAAUCCAAAACUUACCCAAGACAUGCUAGCGACCACCCCAAUCAUGAAUCAACUUCAAAAUCGACAUUCUAAGGCUGGAAAGCUCAAAAUUAAAAUCAUCCAAGUUUACGAGGCUUUGGAAAUGCCUAAGUCUUAACACUUUGUGAAAUUUUCUAAGUCUUGGACCCCUUUAGCAUGCAAGAGUGAGCUAUAAUGAGCUAGGAUCUUACAGGGUCUUAUAUUUAACCGUCCACUCUCAUCCAUCUCACUAGUUUAUGAGUAUAGAAAAAUCUAUACUCAUGAAGAUCAUCCACUAUACUAGUCCACUUUCUUCCAGUUAAGUCCAUAUAAAACUUGAGCUUAAUAAACUUGACAAUACUAGUAUCUACUUCCCAAAAAAUCUUUCUUUCCUGAUAAACACCCCCAUUUAUAAUAGUGUUCCUCUUUUUCCACAAAAACCAAAGAAUAACUGUAGGGACUAUGUUAAAAACAACCCUCAUUCUAACAUUACAAUCAUGAUUUCUCCACAUUCUUACACUUUGCUUCACAUUUAUUCUUUGAUCAACUAAUCCAACUUCUCCACAGUAGUAAUUCCACACUUUUUCAGCAAUUUCCCCUUUAAGAAAUAGAUUGUUUAUUGUUUCUCUUUUCGAAUUAGAGAAACAGAUACAAUUCUUUUAGAUUUCAGGAUUCUAUUUAUUCAUCGCAAAAGAAACUAGAAUCCUCCCAUUCCAUAUUCACCAAAUUAAGAAAGAAAAUUUAAAAGGCAAUCCUUUAUGCCAUAUUUUCUUUAAAUCUUUAAUUACAUCAACCCUUUUCCUUAGAAGAUCCCAAGCACUUUUGGUAGUGAAAUGUCCUACACUAUUCAUUGUCCACUAAGAUUUAUCUGAAUUAUCUACAAGACAUACAAAAUCCAUAUUAUCUCUAACAUAGGUUACUACAUGUUCUGGUACUAAAUCUUACAUAACCUCAUAGUUCCAUCCCUCAACACCUAGGAAAUCAAAAAUCUCAGACAAAGGGUGACAAGUUUGAACCUCAGAUUGCUGCAUAAAUAGUGGACCAGUAUUCGUCCAAUUAUCAAACUAAGUAGAAGAUGUUCCACCUUUAGGUUCCCACCAAAUAUACUUUUCAAGUUUGUCCCUAUUGUUAAAAAUAGAUUUUUACACCUGCGAUCCACCUUUCCAUUAUACAGGAGCAGGUAACUAUUUUUUAUAGUACUUAUUCCACAUAAAGUUUGUCCACAAAUUAGUUUGAGUCCUAAACCUCCACCAAAGCUUGGCUUGUAUUGCAUGAGUUACAUCUUCCACUGAUCUAAACCCAAAACCACCUUCCAUUUUAGGAAGACAUAACUUUUUCCAGGACACCCAAUGAUUUCUUCCACUAAGAACUUUAUUUUUACAAAACAACUUAGCAAAUAUUCUCUACAUUUUUUCAUAAUACUCUUUGGUGGAACUAUUAUUGAUAAUACAUAGAGUGGAACACUCUGAAGUAUACUUUUGAUGAGAACCUCUUUGCCUCCAUAGGAUAAUAAUCUCCCUUUCCAAGCCUGAAGUGUACCUCUAAUCUUUUCAAUCAGAUCAACAUAAUCCCAUAGAGGCAAAGAGGUAUUCUAAUGCAUAUAAUCUUUUUUAUUUUUAGAAUGAGAUAAGGGAAAUCCAAAAUAUUUCAAUGGGAAAGAUCACCUAUUCAUCCCUAUAAUCUUCUCCAUCUGCCUUACCACAUUUGUAGAGGUAUUCUGAUGCAUAUAAAUAAAACUUUUCCCCUAUUCACCAUUUUUUCAGAUUUAGCUUGAUAGUCCUACAAGAUUUGCAUAAUUUUCUCCAUUGAAUACUCAUUAGAAGAGGUAAAUAUGAUAGUAUCAUCUGCAUAAGAAAGGUGGUUCAAAUUAGGGCUCCUCUUAGGCAUACCAUAUCCCACAUAGGAUAUGUCAUUAAAUAACAAAUUAAGAGCUCUUGGAAUCACUUCAGCUGAUAAAAUGAAAACUACAGGGAACAAAGGAUCCCCUUGUUUCACUCCUCGUGUUGAAUAAAGAAACCAACUGCAUGACCAUUCAACAAUAUAGAAUAAUAAUUUCUAGAGAUUAGUCUUCAUAUCACAUCUACCACUUUAUUUGAGAAACCAAACUUCCUUAUUAAUUUCAUCAAGAAAAACCAAGAGAUCUUAUUUAGGAUUUGGUCAUGUCAAGUUUCAGUACUAUAUUUGAAGGUUUUCCUCUUUUUCCAAUAUCAACAAUAAAUUCUUGAGUAAGCAGGGCAUUCUCCACAAUACUCCUUUCUUUCACAAAUCCUAAUUGAUUUGGGGAUAUCAAUCUAGGUAACAGAUUUUCCAACCUAUCAUGCACAAUCCUAGACAUGAUUUUAUUAACAAAAUUACUCAGACUAAUUGGUCUUAAAUCAGAAAAGAAUUGCACAUUAUCCUUUUUAGGAAUAAGAACCAAUUUAGUAUGUGUAAUAGAUUUAGGGAGAGUAUUACCUUCAAAUAAAUCCUCAACCAAACUCCUUACAUAUCCACCAAUAAUGUCCCAACACACCUGAUAAAUUCUGCCAUUUAACCCAUCAGGUCCACUUCUACUAUUCCCAUUUAGUUUGAACACAACCUGUUUAAUCUCUUUCUCAUAUGGAAUAGCUUCAAGUACCAUAUUUUCCUCCUCAGUCACAACAUUAGGAAUGUACUUUAAUAGGGGAAAAUCUAUUGCAUCUCUACAUUGUGAAAACUACUUUUGAUUAAAAAAUAGCCUCUUUUAUAAUCUGAGCUUCAUUUUUUAACCAGCAACCAGAAUCACCAAUGAUUCAGCAAAUUUUUAGCCCAUAUUUCCUCUCUUUAACUAUGGUAUGGAAGAAUGUAGUGUUUCUAUCCCCAUUCUCAAACCAAUCAUACCCAGCCUUCUAUUUCCAAUAGCUUUCUUCUAGUUGAAGAUAUCUGAUAUAUUCAGCCUUUGCUCUCUGCAUAACAACUCUAUUUAAUUAUAAGGGAGAGUCCUCAAACAACUUCUCUUUAAUCCUAGCUAUUUCUUCCCUAAUUAUCAACUACUAAAAAAUAUCUCUAUAAGUCUGCCUACUCCACAGAGAAAGAGCUUUUUUAACCUUCUUAAUCUUCCUUUACAAAUCAUGAAAAGGGUUAUUAGAGCAAUCAACCUCCAUAAAUUAAAAAUGUUCUAUCUAGAAAUUGAGAAACAUAAAAGACUUCUUCACCUUUUUCAAUACUCUCACAGUAUAGCACUAAAGGGGCAUGAUCCAACCCAUCUCUAGCUAAAUAUUCCACCUCUACUAGAUUAAACAUAGCUUGAAAAUCAGCAUUACAAAAAAAUCUAUCCAGUUUCUCAAAAAUGCAAUCAUCCUCGGCCCUCCCACUCCACCAGGUAAAAGGGCUACCCUUGUGAUGAAUUUGGGUAAGCUCAGCAAUUUCAAAACAAUCUCUAAAGUCCUCAGUUUUAGCCAAAGUAAUUGGCAAAACUCCAAUGUUAUCUGAUGCAUAAAAUACUGAGUUAAAAUCCCCUUCAAUGAUCCAUGGUUUAGAGAUACCAUUGGAUAUGGAAAUAAUAUUAUCCUAUAAAUCCAUCUUUUAACUUCUGUCAUAUUUAGCAUAGACUAUAGUCAUCAUAAAAGGACCCCAUUAUACUGAUCAAGAAGAUGAAGAUUCGGUAGCUGUUCUAUGUCUUGUUUAACUGUCACAUUAAAUCCAUGAUUCAUAAAACACCAAAUUUUACCAUUAUAGUUGUGAAAUAUAAGAGGCAUUUGAAAUCUUCCUCUAUAUUUAUUAAUAUGCCUAGACUGCUAAAAUGGCUUCAAAAGUACUAUGAAAGAAAACUUGUUUAAUCUAUUCAGCAUUUGAACUCUCUGGAAAGUUCUUUGAGAUUUGGCCAACCUGAUAUCCCACACCAGUGCUUUUAUCAUUGCUUAGAAUAUUGACUUACAUACCUCUCUUGGGUUGAGAUCUGCUAGGGAGAUUUCGGUCCCCAUUACUUGGCUUUUUCCCUUUCUUACCUUGCUUCAGGGAUUUGAUUGUUCUUGGAGAUAAGUCUGCUUCUUUAAAUAUUUGCUCCUCUAGAUUAUUUUUGUUAGUUUUAUCCUCCACCCCUUCUAUCAAUCCCUAAAGUUCAUCUACUACUUUUACCUGAUGGGUAAGAAUAUCAUGAAGAACUAUGUUAGGAGACUCAAAAUCACCACUCCAUUCUUGUUCAGCUACUGGAAUAAGGAGUUGGACAAUAGCAAGUCUUCUGUUGUUGUCCUUAAUUGGAUAUGUUACAUCUUCUAAUUGUGCAUGAUUAGAACUCACAUCUUUGCUUAUUAAAACCUCCUUCUAUAUAUCACAAUUAUCAAAUAAGUUACUAAAAUGUAACUUUCUUAUACUUCCAGUGUGUUUAUGCUACUUAUCCAUGCUCUAUUUCUCUCUUCCAUUAGACAUUUGUUAUCAAUACAAUCAGGUAUGUUAUGCUGAUCUUGUACUUUCUAUGUCUACUUAUUAUUUGAGUUUUUACUCCUUUGUUGUGUAGAUGUAGAAAUUUAGUGUUACUAGCUUGACUUAUGUGUUGUUCUAGUUGAUCUUAAUAGAUUCUAAUGUGCAUAACGAGUUCCUAAGGGUAUGAUUAUGUAAUUAUGUGUGCAAUAAAUUUUUUUAUAGUAUCUAAUGUUCACUUGAAACAAUCCAAGAUACAAAACAAUAAUUUAAAGAUCAAAAGGACAACAGUAGUAUUCUUAGCUUAUGAUUCUAGUUCAUCGUCUUGAAUUCUAUAUCAUUGUGAGCUCUAAUACGCGGCGUUUGAUACUAUAGGAUUCUUGGUGAGUUUAUAAUUCAUAUAUAUGUAUGAUACACAAACUGAAAAUCAACUUUAAACAACACCAAAAGUCUCGGAAAGGAUGGACAAACACAUGGAACAAGAUUUAACCAAAAAUGGACGUUUUGGAGUCAUUGGCUUGCCAAAGAACUUAGGCACCACGUUAGAGAUGUUCCAUGGACUUGGGGGCUUCCUAAAUUAAUACUUAAAGUAUAUAAAUGUGAUUUUUCCAUGACACUUACCUUAAUCACUGUGAUAUGGGCGUUGCUCACCGCUAUGUCAAAAUCCGCAGCUUGUGUCCUCCUAUAAAUAGGACCCUUAAACAUUAUGUUACACAACUUGGAUGGCAUUGAAACUUUAAGGGAGGAUGGAUAACACUUUAAUUAUGGUUUUUAUUCCAUUAAUUUUGUAUUAUUAUCUAUUCUAACAUGUAUUCAAUCAUUGUGAUUAUGGUUAUGUCCUUGAGUGGCUACACAUACUUUUUCGGGGGAAAUGCCAAGAGCAUGAUUACUCUUGUUAUGAAUUGAUUUGUUUUUGAUUAUUUAUAACAUUUGGUUAUUUAUUUAUUAUUUUUAUUACUAUUUUAAGGAUUCUUAACCCUUAUAAUACAUCCAUUGUCAUCUUGUGAUCCCGGAAGGAGAAACAAGAGGAUAGAACGUGGGGUAAAUAGAAUUGGACUGUAAUAUUCAAUAAAAUGAAGUUAUAGUUUGCAUUAAGGAAAGGAAUAUACAUAAUUUACAUUUUUUUUACUUACUGGAUGAAAUAUAAAUGCAUUUAACUUAGUUGCCACAUCCUGGCUCAAUGAUGUAGUUAUGGGGCUUAGCUAGACAGGUUAUUAGAUAAUCAAAAGACCAUAGUCAUUAUUUCAAAUCCGUAAAUCAGCAACUAAGAUAAUUGACCUAACCAAUGAUGUUCUAUCAUGUAGUAUGAGUGUUUGUAGUGGUUAACCCUGGGUUACUCCCAUUUAUUGUCCAAGAACCUUUACUUUUCUGCAUUAUUUACUUUACUUUCAGUUUAUAAAUCUCAAACUCUUUUGGUUACUUUUACACAAAUUUAAUCAUAAUAGUGAACUAAAAUUGAAUAGUUGUCAAUACAAGUCCCUGUGAGAUUGAUACUUGGCUUAAAAGGGGCCACUUUCCAACUUAGUGGGACCACGCACACUUGCGUGUGUGCUUGGGCGCAACAACUUUUUUGGCGCCAUUGCCAGGGACUUUUAAAUAGGAAACUAUAUUAUUUUUAGUUUUUUUAUAUUGAUUUGUACAUAGCUUAGUAUUUUUCUUUUUAUUUCUUUUACUUUUCUAUCACACUUUGUGAUAUGUCAGCCUCGGAUAGAUAGUUUGGGAGUGAUAAUGAUUCUUAUUAUUUUUGUAGAGGAAUCCACCGAGAGGGUUAUUGUCCAAAUUUUUAGGAAAGCAAGUGGUUAGUACCUUCACCAGAUGAGGUGGAUACUAGCCUAUCUGUGGAGAAAACACAAGAAUUUUAGCCAUUCAACUGUCAUCUUUUUCUUAAGACUGACAAUGAGAAGGUGAAUAAGAGUGAGUGUGUUGUGGAUGGUGUAAAUUUGGAAGUGGUAUUGGUUGGGACUCAUUCAAAUCACUUUCUUACAUUAUGUUAAGAUAAUGACAUGUCUUUGGAGUCAUCUAAAAUAGUUGAAGAGUGUGAAGAUCAGGAACAAGAAUUUUAUUAUUAAAUUUGCUCCAGACCAACAAUACAAAAGCUUGCCUCAUUUUAAGGUAGAGUGAUCUACCAUGCACCAUUCAUUACUUGGUUCUUUUAUCUUUGUACCACCACUCUAUGAGUGAAUAAAAAAUUUAGAUACGAGGUAUGGGAUGAAAUUUAUAUCCUCAAAGUAGAGGAAAAAAUUGAUAUGGAUCAUGCCACUUCACUAAAUCAGGCGCUGCUUGGGAGGAAACCCAAGUUAAGGUAGGUGUUUAUUUUUUGUAUUAUCAGUUUUUACUUCACUUAGUUUUUUGUUUUUUUUUGAGUCACAGGUUGAUAGGAAGUCUGAGUACCAGAAAUCGAAGCUAAGAAGCAUGGCAAAGAUUGAGUAUGGGGUCCUCGAACCCUCUUGAUGUAUAAAGAGUCUACUAGCUAGGCCUAGAGGCCUCAGGGAGUAUUUUUAUCCCUACUUUUAAUUUUACUUUGGGGACAAAGUAGAUUUUUAAGUGUGGGGUGGGGAAAUUCCUAUUGUUUAAGGUGAAAUCAUGUUGUACGGUCUUGAGUCUUAGUUUUUUUUGGUAAAUAAAGCAUUUUAUUUCACCAAAGAAAUUACAACAUCAAGCAGGUUCAUAGCCCUUUGCUUCUCAGUUUAAACAGACAAUCAAUACUUAAGAGAGGUCAUCACUAAUAGGCUAAGAGUCCUCAAAGAUAAGAUAGAAAAUCAAUGUAAACUAGAUUUUAAACUAUUUUAACUAGUGUUUUAGCAGGUCUAUAUUAAGAAUUUUUUUCUUUAUCAUGGAAUUGUUGAUAGCACUGUUGUCCACUUUUUGUACGAUCUACCUCUAAUAUUGAUAUGGUAAGUAAUUUAUCUACACACUCUAUCUACCUGGUAGCUUCCUUAUUGGAAUCACAUGAGGUUUUUUCCCUCCAUAUGGUGUUUACCAUUAUGGCAAGACACUACAUAGGAUGGAUCCCCUGAAAGAUUUCCCUUUUGCUUGUUAUGUUACACAUUUAACCUCGGUCAUCCUACUUCCAAUAGCUCUUUUCAUACCUAACCACAUCAACAUUCUAACCCAUAGACCUCUAGUAGUGUAGCACUCAAAGAAUAGGUGUUGAUAAGUCUCAUUAGCACUAUUAUAGAACACUCAAGAAGAUGGUAUAUAGAUUCCAAAUUUGGUUAGCCUUUCUACAGUUGAGAGUCUUUUUAAUAGGGCUAACCAAAGUGUAAAGAAAUUUCUAGGAUGUACAUUAUGGUUCAACAUAAUUCUUUUCCAGGGAACAUUAGGGAUUUACAAGAGCAUUGCACCAUACAUCUUUUUAAUAAGAAACUUGGAAUUCUGCAUACAGGUUGCCAGUCUUACCAAUAGAUCACCCUGUAGCCCUGAAGCUGACAUGACAUGAUAUUUUUUACUUAUAAUUUUCCUAAUUGCCCAAGUAGCAUUCUUAGGAAUUUCACAGGUUUCAAUAGCUUCAUAUUUGAGAUAAUAAGAAUAUACCCACCUUAUCCAAAGGUAAUCCUUUUUCUAUCUAAAGCCCACAGCUUUUUAGUGAUUGUUGCUUUGUUUUAUAAAUACAAAUUUAGUAUAUUCAGGCCAACUAGAGAUUUAGGAAUGCAUAGUUUUUGCUAAGCUACAAAAGCUCUCUUAGAGGUUAAAGUAGAACCUGUCCAAAGGAAUACUCUGUAGUAGAUGGUGAUGAGUUUCAUGAUUUUCUUUAGCAAUAGGAAGAUUUAUACCCAAUAAGCCUGUGUGCCAAAUAUUAUGGACUUAAUCAAUUGCAACCUCCCUACAUAAGAUAGUAACUUGGAAGACCAACAAUUUAAUUUUGCAAUAAUUUUAUCCACUAAUGGUUGGCAUUGAUCUAUUAUAAGAUUUUUGGUAGAAAAAAUCACUCUCAAGCACCUAAAAGGCAAGGAGCCCUCUUCAUAAACCAGAGAUAUGAGAAUAAGCUGCUUCAUCUGUGGUUUUUUCUAGAAAAAAAGAUAAAAUUCUUCUCAAUAUUUUCUUGAAGUCUUGAUGCUACUGAAAAUCUCUUGAAAGCCUACUAGAGUUGUGUGACAGAGGUGAGGUCAGCUUUGCAAAAUAAUAAUAAGUCAUCACCAAACACUAUGUAUUUUACCCCUAGUUUUUUAAAUCUAGGGUAAUAGUGAACCCUUUAUUUUGAUCUACCAUACUCAGCUCCUUGUUUAGGUACUCUAUUGCAAUUAUAAAAAGGUAACAUGACAUGGGGUCACCUUGCCUUAUAACUCUUUUUCCUGGAAAAGGUUUAGUUAAUCCACCAUUUACCACCAAAGAAUAAGAAACUAAGCUAAUACACACCAUGAUCCUGUUAAUAAAUUUUUGAGGAAAUCGCAGUUCUGCUAAUAAAAUCUUGAGGAAACACCAUUCUAUUAAGUCAUAUGCUUUCUUGAGGUCCACUUUUAUAACAUAUCUUGGAGAGAGCCCCUUUUUGGUGUCCACUUAAAUAGUUCUUGACUGAAUAAAAUAUUGUCAAUAAUACUCCUUUCUUCAAUAAAAGCAGACUGAGAUGGGCCAAUAAUAGUGCCUAUUACUCUUUUGAUCCUAUUUAUGAGGAUCUUGGUAGCCAACUUGUAGAAUGUGUUACAGCAGGCAAUAGGUCUAUAGUCUUUCACUUUUGUAGGGUUAUCACACUUUGGUAUUAGAGUGCUUAUUAUAUAGUUAAAGGAUCUCAACAUCUUACCAGAGUGAAAGAAUUCCCUAACUUAUUGGAAAACAUCAGCUUUAAUAGUAGCCCAUUAGCUGGUGAAGAAUUCUACAGGAAAUCCAUCCACUCCAGGUGCUUUGUCCCCUGGCAUACUCUUCAGAUCAUACAUAAUCUCAUGGUCAGUGACUUUUUGGAUGAGUUCUAGAUUCUGAGAGUAUGUUAGGCAUGAACCAUUCUUGAUCAAAGUAGACUUCGGGUAUGUGAGUUCAGUAGAAUUUGUCCCCAUAAGCCUAAAGAAAAAACCAAUGAAUUCUUUAUCUAUAAGAUAAGGGUCAGUGACUUUGUUCCCCUGGUUCUCAUGGAUGGAUGAAAUCUUGUUCCUGCUAGCUCUGAUUUUGCAUUAAGCUGGAAAGUACUUUUAGUUAGCAUCUUCACUUCUAAUCUACAUUGCCCUUAAUUUCUGCCUCAGCACUUUUUAUUCCAUUAAACUCCAUUGAUGAAGUUCAUGAGUUAAGGUCUUCUCCUCUAUAAUUAAUUCCUCAUUCAUAGGAGUUGAUACAAGCCUUGUCUGUGUGAUGUCCAUCUUCUUCCUUCAAGCUACAGCCUCUGAGCAUCAGAAUCAAGGUAGGUAUUCAAUCCUUUCAAGUCAUGCUUUAAAGUUUUAUGAUUUUGACUAAAGAUAAACAUCUUUAUACCAUAAAACUUUUUCCUCAAAGUGUGCUACAAUUCUUGGGAAAUUCUUGCACUCUAAAACAAUAUUAUACAGUUUAAAUGGCUUUGGUUUAGAGAUUACCUGAGCUAAAUUCUAGAUAAGGAUAGAUAAAUGAUCUGAAACCCCUGGAUUGAGGAAUUCAGCUUCAACAACUCCAUAGUUCUACAGCCAGUAGAAAUUCCCAAGCACCCCAUCAAUCUUAGAUUAUAUCAUGUGCUCCUAUUGUUAUUUGUUGCAGAAGAUGAGUGAUAGCCUCUUGCCUUAAGAAAAAUGAGUUGGAGCUGGUAUGCAUAGUCUCUAAAGUCCUGUACUUUUGGUUAGGUAACCAUUGAGCCAAGUCUGUCUUCAGAUAAUAAUACAAUAUUGAAAUCCCCACUGAGCAGCCAAGGAUCUUGAAUAGAUGUUCCUAUCAGUUAUAGACCCUCCCACAUUUCCACUCUCUCUUGCAUACUAUUUUUUACAUAGACAAUGGUGACAUAUGCUGAGAAGGAUCCCAUUGCAUAACUCACAUAGUAGUGUAUGAAUUAUUUUUUGACUACUAACAUAGAGACCUAUACGUGAGAUAGCCAACAUAACCAAAUCCUUCCAUUUUAUGCCUUUGAGUAGUUGCAGCUUGUUUUCCAUCCCUUAAAUAUUUUCUUUAUUAUAUUUGGGGAUUUAUUCUCUUUGACCCUAGUUUCUAAGCAUCCACGCAUAUCAACUUUAUAUUUCUUGAGAAAGAGUAUAAGUUUUUUUUAUUUUAGGGGCUGGUUCAGGCCCAUAAUGCUCCAAGUGGUGAUAAUCAUAUGUUUGGAGCCACACCAGGAAAACCCGGUGGGCCUUCAUCUAUUGGAAUAUUCUCAAGAGGAUCAAAUUUGUUUACAUUGACCAUUCUAGGUCUAGCUUGAUCCAUGGUAGGUAUCACACUAGAUGAACUAGAAUUACCUGUAGCUGGCUCAACAUUUGUGCAUCAUCUGGCUUAGGGGCAGUAGGGUUGUUUAGGCUAGGCUGGGUAUCUCUUUCCUUAUUCUACCAUUAUUGUUGUUUUGGUUUCCUUUGUUGUCUAUUUCUCUUUUUUCUCUUUGGAACAUCUUUGAAUUCCCCAUAUUGUUUUUCCACCUAGUCCUCCACUUCUAAAUAAUUUAUAAAAAGAUGACCAAACUUUAAGCAGUAUGCACAAUACUUAGGCCUCCAUUCAUAUUCCACAGUUUGUUGAAAUAUACUUGUAGGUGUAAUCAUUUCUAUAUUGUCCAGUAAUGGCUGAGAGACAUUUGUUUCUACUAGUACCCAAUCAUAGGAAAUCCUCUCCAUUUUUGUAGUAACUUGAUCUGUGUGCUUUGGUUUACCCAUGGCACUUACAACCUUGCUAAGGGCCUCGCUUGACCAAUAGCCAAUAGGUAAACCCGGGAAUGUAACCUAUUAUGGAAUAGUUGUAAUAUAAUCUAAAUUAAAAUUAAAACUAAUAUCCUAAGCUUGCACAAUAAAUGGCUUAUUAUGGAAAGUAUAAAGACCCUCUAUCAGGAUUUGAUUGCAUUCCUCAGUAAUUCAAAUCUAAAUAUGAAAUACCCAGAAUCAUGACAUAAAAUCUGUGGGCUUUUAGCAUAUUUCUAGAUUAGGGACACAUAUUUUUCAAUAGACCUCACGUAAAGAGUAUACCCAAUUACAUAGCCUAUUAACACAAAUUUCCAGUACUCUACAUUACUACGCAAGUCAUCUUCUACAAUACUUACAGUGAUCUUACCUUGUUUCACAGUAGGAGGGAUAUAGAUAGAGCUUUAACCUUUGAAGCUACUCUAUUCUCACUAUACUUAGCCUUUACCUCUGGAGGGGUGUGAGCAGAAGUUGUUGUCUUCGAGAGUUGGAGUCGCCGAUUUACUGAGGGCAGUUGAGUCAUCGUAGUUGCGUAGGUGCAACGACUUUUGGAAGUCAGUAGUUGUUGAUCCAUCUACAGCCUCUUCUAGAAUGGAUUGAAAUUUUGGGGAAGGUAAGUGCCAAAAGUAAUUGAUGGAAGUGUAAUACUAGAACCAUCCUAGGGAGUAACCAACUUUUCCGGUGAGCCAAAGAUAUUCUUCGAUUGGGCCGUGGUUUUUCAGUAUAUGUGCAUGUUAGCUUCUUUGCUAAAAUGCGCUGAGAGUCUUUGUUAUUUUUCUAUUUUUUAAGUAAAUUUGAAAAAAUUACAAAAAGAUUUUCUCUUUUUAGUUUUUAGUUUAUUUGGGCCAGUCUAGUAGGUACACAUUUCACCCAC